UACGAAGGGGGCAAGCGUUGUUCGGAAUUACUGGGCGUAAAGCGCGCGUAGGCGGCUUUGUAAGUCGGAUGUGAAAUCCCCGGGCUUAACCUGGGAACUGCAUUCGAGACUGCAUAGCUAGAGUAUGGGAGAGGGAAGUGGAAUUUCAGGUGUAGCGGUGAAAUGCGUAGAUAUCUGAAGGAACAUCAGUGGCGAAAGCGACUUCCUGGACCAAUACUGACGCUCAUGUGCGAAAGCGUGGGGAGCAAACAGG
rnacentral:rRNA from 1 species